CCUACGGGAGGCAGCAGUGAGGAAUAUUGGGCAAUGGGCGAAAGCCUGACCCAGCAACGCCGCGUGGAGGAUGAAUGCCGUAAGGUUGUAAACUCCUGUUAGAGGGGAAGAAUAAUCCCGAUCGACUCGGGACUUGACUGUACCCUCAAAGAAAGCUCCGGCUAACUACGUGCCAACAUCCGCGGUAAU
rnacentral:rRNA from 1 species